CUGCCUCAACGGCCGGAACGUCUUGUUUACACAAAUUACAAUUUUCUAGGUCCAUACCACAAGUUAUAUACUAAGAUCUACGAGUCAUCUACUGGAUUGGUCCUGGACAGAUCUAUUUUCAUAUUUCAUUUACUGUUAUCUGUUAUUAUCCCUUUUCAAUUCCUUGUUAUCUGUUUUUCACCAAAUCAAUUCACUGUUUUGCUGUUAUGGGGACCCCCCUUGCCCC
rnacentral:lncRNA from 1 species